ACUCAACGCGAUAUCUAUAAAAGGGGUGCGUUUAAGUUGUAAAAGCAUGCUGCCCAGUUGCAGAUCCUUGACCAGCUUUUCAGCCCUAAAUCCUGUUCAUUAGGAGUUU
rnacentral:sRNA from 1 species